rnacentral:rRNA from 1 species
GAUGAACGCUGGCGGCGUGCCUAAUACAUGCAAGUCGAGCGGACGGACGAUAAGCUUGUUUCUCUGAUGGUAGCGGCUGACGGGUGGGUAACACGUGCAUAACCUACUUAUAAUUCUUGGAGAACUACGGGAAACCGGUUCUAAUACCAGAUAAUAUUUUGAACCGCAUGGUGCAAAAGUUAAUGACGGUCUUGCUGUCACUUAUAGACGGAUCCGCGCUGCAUUAGCUAGUUGGUAAGGUAACGGCUUACCAAGGCAACGAUGCAUAUCGGACGUGAGAGGGUGAUCGGACACACAGGAGAUGAGACACGGUCCCGACUCUUACGGGAGGCAGAAGUAGGGAAUAUUCCGCACUGGGCGCAAGCGUGACGUAGAAACGCAGCGCGAGUGAUGAAGAUCUUCGGAUCGUAAAACUCUGUUAUUAGGGAAGAAAAUAUGUGUAAGUAACUGUGCACAUCUUGACGGUACAUAAUCAGAAAGCCCCGGCUAACUACGUG